UGUUUAUAUUGAAUUAAUCAAUCUUUUUUUUUGCUUCCAGGACAACCAGUGUCACAAACAAUCACCACAAGAGGAGGAGCAUUGACACAAACGUUCGACACAUAUGGAGGACUAGUGGAUCAAAGGAUCGACACAGGAAUUGGAGCAGUGG